CGCAGCUGGCGCGGCCUUGGAGGGGCUGCGGGGCGUCUCCGCCAGUGCACAAUACCGGCUCCACACACAACAGUGGAAAGGGCUUGGAAGGACCAAUGGAACUGACUGACCUCUGUGUCAUCCAUCCUCAGCCAACAGGCAUCACUGGAGGCAGAUAUUGACAGGCAGUGCACUGCUCUCCCGGCUGAUUGUUCAUGACCAGAGCUGCUACAUCAAUCAAGUAGCUCCUCAAUUGGCCUCACAGGGUCUGAGUGCACUCCACUUGUCAACAGCACUUGGACAGCCUGGAUGUCACUCAUUCAAGUGGUACCAAGUCCAACAGCGCGAUCUGAUGGGAACCGGUGUUACCAUUGUAUUGGCGAUUUAGUAUUACCAAUAGCAGUUUAUUCAUCCAAGGAUAAUUUUACAAUGAAAUGUUAUUUGUUAACUUAAUACAAGAAAAAACAUGUUAUACAUACUGA